rnacentral:rRNA from 1 species
UACGUAGGGCGCAAGCGUUGUCCGGAAUUAUUGGGCGUAAAGAGCUCGUAGGCGGCUUGUCAAGUCGGGUGUGAAAGCCCGGGGCUUAACCCCGGGUCUGCAUUCGAUACGGGCUGGCUAGAGUGUGGUAGGGGAGAUCGGAAUUCCUGGUGUAGCGGUGAAAUGCGCAGAUAUCAGGAGGAACACCGGUGGCGAAGGCGGGACUCUGGGCCGAUACUGACGCUGAGGAGCGAAAGCGUGGGGAGCAAACAGG